rnacentral:rRNA from 1 species
GACAGAGGUGCCGAGCGUUAGGCGGAAUCACUGGGCUUAAAGCGUGUGUAGGCGGGUCGUUAAGUACCUUGUGAAAUCCCCCGGCUCAACCGGGGAACGGCUGGGUAUACUGGCGAUCUUGAGCCACCUAGGGGCAGUCGGAACAAGUGGUGGAGCGGUGAAAUGCGUAGAUAUCACUUGGAACGCCAAUGGUGAAAACAGACUGCUGGGGGUGUGACUGACGCUGGAGACACGAAAGCCAGGGAGCAAACGGG